UCGUUUGUUCUGACCUCAGUGAGUGAUUCAUUUUCUUCUCUUUCUGUGACUUUGAGCUUCACUUGUUGACUCAAACUGUUCGGUAGAGUCUUGAUUGAUUAUUCAGAGUAUCAGCGUGCACAGUAACAGUAAAACACGGGGAAGCCUGGACAGGUAGGCACGGUGUACUUCACACAGUGAUCACAGACGCUGGUUACAGUCUGAUAAUAUAGAUGUCAACAGUUCCGUUAAAGCAGCAUCUGUACAGUUUGAUGAGCGGCGGAGGAGGAGCAUCGGUGUGCACCAGCAGUGUGUGUGUCGGUGUGUGUCAGGGUUUCCUCCAGGCCAGAGGAGGGAUGGCGGCGUUGGCGUCGCAGCAAGGCUCGCUGGCCUCGGAGUCGGCAGGGAGAGCCGGCUUUUUCCUCUCCUUCUCCUCGCCGUCCGAGUCGUCCACCAUCAGGGUGAUGAGCGAGGCGGACUUCCUGUGGAGGGACAAAACACGACAGGCUCAUGUAGCUGUAACUGACCCCCUGUUUGUGCCUCUCAUGGAUUAUCACAGCCAGGCUUCAGCUGAGAGAUAAAUCCUGCUGAUCUUUAGCAAACAGACUUUCAGUCAUCAAACGAUCCCACUCAGAUUUGAGGUUCCAGAGGUCGACGGGUAACUUUCUGUGUUAAAAACAUGAAUGAGAUCUCUGGUGUGAUGAAAUCAAAAACAGAGAACAGCCGCUGAAUCAAGAAAGCAUUUCAAGAAUCCUAAAAGACUCUUCUACCCAAAUAUAUUAGUCGGCUGCAUGGAAAUUUUUUUUUUAACCUGUUUACCACGUUGCAACUCAGUUUCCUAAACAAAUAAUCAUGUGUUUGUUAUCAUACAUCCAUUACAUCAGUACUUACUUAUCUUGUAUUUAUUGUGCAAUAACCCAAAGACACUGCAUGUUAUAAUUCAGAUUUUGCACAAGCCACUAAAAUUGAGGCAUUCAUCACAGGGCAAGUAUUUAAUAUACAUCACCUCUAUAGCUGCAGUUAUUUUUAUUUGUUCAGUUUUUUCCUGAGUGAAUUUUCACACAAAGUCUCAUCUAACUACUCUCCUUUGAUAUUUUUCUUAUAGUCUGCAAAAUGAGCAAGGAGAUGCUACUUCCAGCAGCUACCACAGUAGAAAAGAGUUGCAGCCUGUAAAACAGGUUUCAAUAUGUUUUUUACCACGUAGCAAGCAGAAUAUUUAAUCAGAUGGUUAAAAGAGUCUUUAAAGAUUCAGAAAAUACCGUAAAGUGUUAAACAUUUGAGGCACAACCUGGAGCCCAUCCUAUGUGUUAGUGGCCUGAGGAGUGCUGAGCAGCUGUUCUUCACUGUCCUCAGGAGGAAGGUGGAAGGUGGAAGAUAUCUCCUGUCAAACAUCUUUUUGAAUCAUCAAGUUUUUUCUUUGCAAACAUGCUCAGCUGUAGCUAACAUGAUGCUAACCAAACCGACACGUGACAGAAGUAUCCACCUGAUUUAGCAAAACUCAUUCUGGACCAAUCACAGCCACCAAAAAACCUUUUUUACUGCAGGUGUUUUGAAGGGUCGCAGCAGGAUCACGGCUCUGUUCCAUUCAAGUGUCACAGGAAGCAAAGCGGCGAUCCAGCGUGCACAAAACCAGAGCCCUGAACGCCAACACGGACCACUGCCGUCAGAGAUGUUACGUAUUACACCUGUGCUCGUCCUGCUGUGCCGUUCAGAACAACCUACUGCGUUAAGACGGAGACUAUCCUUUCAUUGAUCACUUUAUCAUCAGUACAGAGGGAGACAAUAACAAUAUAAAGGUAAAUGCUUCAAAUAUGGAUGCUGCUGCAAAGAAGCUACAAACUGUAAAACAUGGAGGCUUCACACACACACACAUUCAACCAAACAUAAGAGCUGUACAAUCAGCACAGGUUCAAGAUCAGUGUCACCAAAUUAGUAUCUGACUAAAUGUGAAAUAUGGUCACAAUCUGCCUUCUGUUCCUGAGUUAUGCUGCUGAAUAAUGAACAGAAAAGUGUUUCUGCAAAACAUGAUGUCA